AUUCUGGGAGAAGCCAGCUGCCAGGGAAUGCGGAGCCUUCGACAGCCCUGUGGGAAUGUCCCUGUGGAGGAACUGAGGCCUCCAGCCAACAGCCAUGCUUCUCCUUUGUCUUCAGUUGUGCUAAUCGCAUUGGCUUAUGGAGACCUACUCAUCUAUGUGUAGGUUCUAACUGGGACUGCUCUUUUCAUCAAAACUUCCUGAAUUAGUGGAUGCAUGAACUAGCAGGUCAAUGGUUAUUCAUUGUGAUGAACACGGUGAUAAGCCACCUGGAUCCGCCUUCAAGGAAGGACUUAGAGUUCAGCUGCUGGGAAGGUGG
rnacentral:lncRNA from 10 species